rnacentral:rRNA from 1 species
AGAGUUUGAUCAUGGCUCAGAACGAACGCUGGCGGCGUGCCUAACACAUGCAAGUCGAACGAGAAAGGGGCUUCGGCCCUGAGUAAAGUGGCGCACGGGUGAGUAACACGUAGGUAACCUGCCUCUAAGAUUGGGAUAACCUGUCGAAAGACGGGCUAAUACCAAAUAAGACCACGGUCUCUUCGGAGACUGAGGUCAAAGGUAGCCUCUAUUUAUAUGCUAUCGUUUAGAGAUGGGCCUGCGCACCAUUAGCUAGUUGGUGGGGUAAGAGCCUACCAAGGCAAAGAUGGUUAGCUGGUCUGAGAGGAUGAUCAGCCACACUGGAACUGAGACACGGUCCAGACUCCUACGGGAGGCAGCAGUGGGGAAUAUUGGACAAUGGGCGAAAGCCUGAUCCAGCGACGCCGCGUGGGUGAAGAAGGCCUGCGGGUUGUAAAGCCCUUUCGGUGGGGAAGAAAAGCCUCGAGUUAACACCUUGGGGUCUUGACGUAACCCAUAGAAGAAGCACCGGCUAACUCUGUGCCAGCAGCGGCGGUAAUAC